rnacentral:rRNA from 1 species
UACGGAGGGUGCGAGCGUUGUCCGGAAUCACUGGGCGUAAAGGGUGCGUAGGCGGCUUUUUAAGGGUGCGGUGAAAGCCCGGGGCUUAACCCCGGGUCGGCCGUGCCGACUGAAAAGCUGGAGCACUGUAGAGGCAGGUGGAAUUCCGGGUGUAGCGGUGGAAUGCGUAGAGAUCCGGAAGAACACCAGUGGCGAAGGCGGCCUGCUGGGCAGUUGCUGACGCUGAGGCGCGACAGCGUGGGGAGCAAACAGG